UACGGAGGGGCUAGCGUUGUUCGGAAUUACUGGGCGUAAAGCGCACGUAGGCGGCUUUGCAAGUCAGAGGUGAAAGCCCGGGGCUCAACCCCGGAAUUGCCUUUGAGACUGCAUCGCUAGAAUUGUGGAGAGGUAAGUGGAAGUUCCGAGUGUAGAGGUGAAAUUCGAUAGAUAUUGGAAGAACACCAGUGGCGAAGGCGA
rnacentral:rRNA from 1 species